rnacentral:rRNA from 1 species
GACGAACCGUGCAAACGUUGUUCGGAAUUACUGGGCGUAAAGGGCGCGUAGGCGGCCUUCUAAGUCGAACGUGAAAUCCCCGGGCUCAACCCGGGAACUGCGUCCGAUACUGGAAGGCUUGAAUCCGGGAGAGGGAUGCGGAAUUCCAGGUGUAGCGGUGAAAUGCGUAGAUAUCUGGAGGAACACCGGUGGCGAAGGCGGCAUCCUGGACCGGCAUUGACGCUGAGGCGCGAAAGCCAGGGGAGCAAACGGG